rnacentral:miRNA from 1 species
GUGUGUGUGUGUGUGUGUGUGUGUGUGUGUGUUCGUGCGCGCGCACACACACACACACACACACACACAGGCAG